UCGAGGAUCUUUGGCAAUGGGCGCAAGCCUGACCAAGCGACGCCGCGUGGACGAUGAAGGCCUUCGGGUUGUAAAGUCCUGUCGAGGGGGAUAAAGGCGCAAGCUUGAUAUAUCCCUGGAGGAAGCACGGGCUAAGUUCGUGCCAGCAGCCGCGGUAAGACGAACCGUGCUAACGUUGUUCGGAAUCACUGGGCUUAAAGGGCGCGUAGGCGGCUUGCCAAGUCAGGGGUGAAAUCUUUCGGCUUAACCGGAAAAGUGCCUUUGAUACUGGCGAGCUCGAGGGGGGUAGGGGUAUGUGGAACUUCCGGUGGAGCGGUGAAAUGUUUUGAUAUCGGAAGGAACGCCGGUGGCGAAAGCGACGUACUGGACCUCUUCUGACGCUGAGGCGCGAAAGCUAGGGGAGCAAACGG
rnacentral:rRNA from 1 species